CCAUCCACAGAUAACCUCCGGUGGUUACUAGGAGAGGGGCUGGAAUGCGGUGGGGGGUUGUGUUCGUAGUACUCCCAGGAAGUCCUGAUGUCACAAGAGCGGCAAGGACAUAGCAAGGAGGAGUCGAGUUACAGUAAGGAUGGGCAGUGGCGCGCGCGGCCAGAGCACACGCUCCAGCCGCAGGGAAUCGUAGGCAGAAGCCUGUUCAGCUUUGCUCGCCCAGCCCGCCCCGGAGGAGGCACGCUCCGCGCCUCUGCUUGUCAAGCGUCAAGCUGGAAACAUUCACACUGACCUUAGCAUGCCACGGCUCUGCUCGGCGUGCCAACUCUGCGUGCGAGCGGAGGCUGAAGACGCCACAGUGGGGUUCCAGCUGGUUGAUUAAUGAGAAAAAUAAUGUAUUUUGGUGAGUGUUCACUCUGAUGACGCAAUUUUGGGCUGGGGGAGGGGGGGCAGAUUGUCCGGCGGCUCUCCAUCGUGCAAGCAAACGCUUAAAAAAAA
rnacentral:lncRNA from 1 species